CCUCUCCGUCAAUGUGUGUGUUCGCUUGAAUUUUCUACUUUGUUUGCUGACUAUUUUUUGGCCAACGCGUGGACUCCCAAUUCUUCAAACCUAAAAACUCCAUUCAACACUUGUUAGAAGCAUCCACUUCCAAAUUAUUCCACAUGAAGGAAAGAGGGCAGCAUCAAUUGCCCCAAAAUCCAGCAGACCUCACAUAAUAAUUCAACGAAACAUCUACCACAAAGAGCAGUUAUCUUGUGGUAAUAAGCUUGUGAAAAAAUGUAUUCCGGACAAAGAAACAAACCAAAUUUGCAUAUGCUUGUUAAUCGAUCUCUGUCCUUCAGAGUUAGAUUAUAAACUUCAUGUAUACCGGGAGAUGAAGACAAGUAGUACUUGGAACAAAAAAAAGAGGUUCUUCAAAAUGCUGGCCUGGGAAGCAGAAACAAUGCUUCUACUAAAAUAAAAUACAUGACUUCGACUAAAAUAGGUGAUUCUGCACUUCUUUAGUCUAUUGUCAUAUGCUUAUUCAUAAUGCUAAAUAGUUAUGCUUUAUAUUUCAUGUUAUUGUGUUAAUAUGUCUCUACUUUAGUAAUAAAUUUAUAUGCCUACAAAUAACAGAAAGAUGGACAACGCAACGUUCAUAUCUUGGUGGAAAAAAUAGUGAUAAAUGCCUUAGACAACAUAUAUCACAUGGAGAGAAAUGGUACAUAAUUAAUUUUCCAUAAGACUCUUAAACAUCAUAAGAUUUGAUGCUAUAGAAAAACAUUCAUUAACUUCUAGCACUAGCAAAUAUUUUUAUCUCAGCUAUAAUGGUUCCUUAUACUUCGACAUGGUACAAAUAUAUAAAUUUGAUAUUUUUAGGUUAAGACAAUAAUUCAACUUUACUUCAGUCUUUAAACAAUUUUUUUUAUGUUAAAUCAAAAAUUUAUAAGCUCCUUGGGCCCGGGCUACCGCCAACUAGUAUUUAAGAAGAGGGAAAUGUGCUGCAUGUGUCUCCACCUUUAUCUAUUGUACAUUUCAACUCUAGGAACAAUUCCUAGAGUUGUACCGAUAAAUAUUCACAUUCCAUAAAAUGCUCUUGGAAUUUUUUCGUGAUUUUUGUCCAAAUUUAUUAACAAAUGGCCAAAUAUUAAUAACUUUGAAAAGCUGGCUAAAACUUAAUAUCAGUCUAAAAAUAGGUAUUUUCCAAUUUCUUGUAGAAAUGACACUAGGUAGCCACUCUAAAGGGCUAUUAUUUAAAAAUUAGCAAAUACGUCCUGAAUUUUAGUUUUAAAGUACUGACUAAUCUCUAAACAGCUUCCUGAGAAUGGUUAUCUAUGCCCUUGCCCCCAAUUUCUUCCAUUCAUUAACCGCGGAUUACGUCCAAGAUCUUUUGCAGUCGGCCCAUUGCCUAAAUGCAUUUAACCAGCAACGGAGUCACGGCCCACUUCGCUGCACUAAGAAUUGCUGGUAAAAGUUGGAAGGCCCAAACAGAACUCAUUUCCAGAAGAAAAUUAACUGAAAUAGUCAUCCAUCCAACCGCUUCAACUAAAAAUAGCCGGUGAAAGUAUAGUAUAAGUAUAAUUUAUAUAUUAUAUAUGUAUAAUUAAUAUAUAAACUAUGUAUAUGGUUAGAAAAAAAUAAACAAUGAAUAUGGAGGGCUAUUUGUGUAAACAUUUAGCAGCAUAUGAUAGUGCCUAGAUAGUCAGUGGCCCAAAAGCAUAUAGACAAAUUUAGGAUUUAAUCAGAGUUAAUAAAUUCUGAAUGAGUGUAAUCUUAUAUGUAUAUGUUUAAUUCACAUUUUUAUUUAUACAAAAUGUAAAAUUCUUUGAAUCGAUGAAAAUAAUAAGUUCAAUUGAACCUAAAGAAUUAGCUCUAACUCUGUCUUUGCUAGAUAAGAAGAGCAAGGGCGUAUGUAGCAUUAAGGUGAUAGGUACAACUGAAUCCAUAACUUUUGAUGAAGAUCAUAAAUUUAUAUAUAAAAAUAGUAGAUAUGAACUCAUAACUUUACAAAUAUAAUAAUUUCAAUGUUAAUCAUCUUAAAUUUUGAAUCCAUAAAAUUUAAUCCUAAAAUCCUCUCUCAAAAUAAAUAAAUAAAAAGGACAACUCGAUGCAGUAAGUUAAGUUAUACACGAGAAAACAAUAUGCAUUUCUCAAAUACUAGAAGAAGACAGGGUUGGUAGAAUGGGGCUCACAAUUAUUCCACGUAGUAAAACAUCUCUGUGUGUAAUUCGUGUACGUGGAUAUCGUUCCUAUUUUUUUAAGUGAAACUUUGGCUACUCCUCUUUAAUUUCUUCCAUUUGUAUAACAAGACAAGAAAAAUACUGAUUGAGAUGAUAGAUCAGUAUCGCAUUUAAUUUGGAUCGUAGUAUCUGCUAUUCAGUUUAGAUUAAUUAGUAGAGUAUAAGAUUCUUUUUGUAUAAUUACGUGUCUUAGUGCUGACGAAUUUCCCAACAGUUCACUACACUCAAAAGUCUCAUUCGGGGAUUUUAAUCAAAUAUUGAGAUAAGGUUUCGACGGCGUCUCUAUCAUAUUGUUGAUAUAUUAUGAGAAAACGACACUUACAAAUUCCAAUAAAAUCUAUAAGACUGUUACUCUCUAUGAUCCACUUUAAUUGAUUUUUUAAUUUUUUUUUUAUGAUUCAUAAUAUUUGAUUUUUCAUAUAUAAAGAAGGAGUUAACUUUUUUUAAAAAAAACAAAAUUGCCCUUAUUAGAGUAAAGAGCCUAGGAGUAUUUUAAUUAAGGUUUCAACAUCAACAAACCUAGUAUAAUCCACAUAAUGGUGUCUGGGGAGGAUAUUGUGUACGCAGCCUUACCCCUACCUUGUUGAGAUAGAGAGGUUAUUUCCAAUAUUUUAAUUAAGAUUAAUAUGGUCAA